CUCGGGGUGGGGGGUAACUCAGCCUGGAAUGCGAGAGGGCACAGGCCAGGCCGAGGGACCCCACCGGUGCAUG
rnacentral:pre_miRNA from 1 species